rnacentral:rRNA from 1 species
CCGUAGCCCAAGAGAUCGGGAUAACACCUGGAAACAGAUGCUAAUACCGGAUAACAACAGAUGAUGCCUAUCAACUGUUUAAAAGAUGGUUCUGCUAUCACUCUUGGAUGGACCUGCGGUGCAUUAGCUAGUUGGUAGGAUAACGGCCUACCAAGGCGAUGAUGCAUAGCCGAGUUGAGAGACUGAUCGGCCACAUUGGGACUGAGACACGGCCCAAACUCCUACGGGAGGCAGCAGUC